CAUGCAUCUCUCUUAGGUCGUAACUCAAGUUCGCUCUUUUGCUUCCCCCUCUUCCUCCACCUUCUUCUUCUUCUUCUUCUUCUUCUUCUUCUUCUUCUUCUCCUUCGCCGCUGCUUCCAUCCUUUAUCUCCCCUGCUUCGUCUCUCUUCCACCGCCGCCUUCACCACACCCUAUUCCACUAAUUAUUUUCCCCCUUUUUACAGGAGAUUACAAUUCACUCGGUGCUUGUUUUUCUCGCGGCGGCGGUCGUCCGUCAUUUGGUUGGUGGUUUGUGUAGAUCAAAAUGGUUGACAACGCAGACAAGAUGGCAGUGUUGCAAGAAGUUUUAAUUGUUGUAGCUGAUGAUGAAGAGCAAUGGGUGAUGACAAAUGUCCUCAUUGCGAGAGAAUUGAAGAAAGAAGAGAUGCCAAUUCCUAGGACACCCUACCAUGAUGACAUAUUGAUGAGUGGCCUCAUUGAGACCGAGAGGGUUAGUGAAAGACAGUCGAUAUGUAUCAGCCGAUGAACAGGUUGGGAUUCUAUUGCAAGUGAUAGGGCACAACAAAUCAAACCGGAAUUCCAUAGACCAUUUUCAGCAUUCUAGUGAAACAAUUUCACGACACUUUAACAAUGCUUUGAAAGCCAUCUGUGAGUUUGACAAAGAAAUUGUUCAACCUAAUGAUAUGACAGUUGUUCCACCACAAAUUCUCAAUAAUCCGAAGUAUUAUCCAUGGUUUGAGGUAAAUUAUUUUAAUUGUGGGGUGUUUUACUUCUCAAUAUACCAUAAUAACAAAACUUUUGCA